rnacentral:rRNA from 1 species
AGCGAACGCUGGCGGCAGGCCUAACACAUGCAAGUCGAACGAACUCUUCGGAGUUAGUGGCGGACGGGUGAGUAACACGUGGGAACGUGCCUUUUUGUUCGGAAUAACUCAGGGAAACUUGUGCUAAUACCGAAUGUGCCCUUCGGGGGAAAGAUUUAUCGCCAUUAGAGCGGCCCGCGUCUGAUUAGCUAGUUGGUGAGGUAACGGCUCACCAAGGCGACGAUCAGUAGCUGGUCUGAGAGGAUGACCAGCCACACUGAGACUGAGACACGGCCGAGACUCCUACGGGAGGGAGCAGUGGGGAAUCGUGCGAAAUGGGCGAAAGCCUGACGCAGCCAUGCCGCGUGAAUGAUGAAGGUCUUAGGAUUGUAAAAUUCUUUCACCGGGGACGAUAAUGACGGUACCCGGAGAAGAAGCCCCGGCUAACUUCGUG